GAUGAAGAACGCAGCGAAAUGCGAUAAGUAAUGUGGAUUGCAGAAUUCAGCGAAUCAUCGAAUCUUUGAACGCACAUUGCGCCCCCCGGCAUUCCGGGGGGCAUGCCUGUCCGAGCGUCAUUGCACCCCUCGAGCCCGCGCGGGUUUCGGUGUUGGGCCGCCGUCCCCCGGGGGGGGGACGGGCCCGAAAGGCAGUGGCGGCCCCGGGGCGACUUCCCGCGCGAUCGCAGCACCUCGCGGCCGAAGCGUUCGCCCCGCGGGCCCGCCUGGACCACCAGUGUGACGUACCGGUUGACCUCGGAUCAGGCAGGGAUACCCGCUGAACUUAAGCAUAUCAAUAAGCGGAGGA
rnacentral:misc_RNA from 1 species